UACGGAGGGGGCAAGCGUUGUUCGGAAUUACUGGGCGUAAAGGGCGCGCAGGCGGCUGCUCAAGUCAGGCGUGAAAGGCCUGGGCUCAACCCGGGAAUUGCGCUUGAGACUGGGCUGGCUUGAGUGCGGGAGAGGGAUGUGGAAUUCCCAGUGUAGCGGUGAAAUGCGUAGAUAUUGGGAGGAACACCAGUGGCGAAGGCGGCUCACUGGACCGGAACUGACGCUGAGGCGCGAAAGCGUGGGGGAGCAAACAGG
rnacentral:rRNA from 1 species